UACGGGGGGAGCAAGCGUUGUUCGGAUUUACUGGGCGUAAAGAGCUCGUAGGCGGCCUGUCGCGUCGGCUGUGAAAACCCGGGGCUCAACCCCGGGCCUGCAGUCGAUACGGGCAGGCUAGAGUCCGGUAGGGGAGACUGGAGUUCCUGGUGUAGCGGUGAAAUGCGCAGAUAUCAGGAGGAACACCGGUGGCGAAGGCGGGUCUCUGGGCCGGAACUGACGCUAAGGAGCGAAAGCGUGGGGAGCGAACAGG
rnacentral:rRNA from 1 species